UACGAAGGGGGCUAGCGUUGUUCGGAAUUACUGGGCGUAAAGCGCACGUAGGCGGAUAUUUAAGUCAGGGGUGAAAUCCCGGGGCUCAACCCCGGAACUGCCUUUGAUACUGGGUAUCUCGAGUCCGAGAGAGGUGAGUGGAAUUCCGAGUGUAGAGGUGAAAUUCGUAGAUAUUCGGAGGAACACCAGUGGCGAAGGCGGCUCUCUGGGACGGUACUGACGCUGAGACGCGAAAGCGUGGGGAGCGAACAGG
rnacentral:rRNA from 1 species